AUCCUUCCACCUUUAGGGGCCCUAUUUCGCUUCAGAGUUCUAUCAGUAUCUGUCCUUUCUUCGAGAGCCCUGUUUCUCUUGGCAUCUUCUCGGGCCAUAGGCGCCCUUCGAGUCGUCCCUGUCCUCGCCCCUCUGCAUCCCUCAGAGCGAUCUAGGUUAGUCCCAGAACCUUCAUCUUUCUUCCCGCCACUUAGGGGCCUUUUCUUUGCCAUUUUUUUUUGUUGUAUUCCUCUGAGUUAGUCUCCUGUGACCUCUCAUCCUUUGUCCUGCCCGUCUUCUU
rnacentral:lncRNA from 1 species